GCCAACGUCCAUACCACGUUGAAUACACCGGUUCUCGUCCGAUCACCGAAGUUAAGCAACAUCGGGCGCGGUCAGUACUUGGAUGGGUGACCGCCUGGGAACACCGCGUGACGUUGGCU
rnacentral:rRNA from 2 species